AAGUGCGAAUGCUGACAUAAGUAACGAUAAAACGGGUGAAAAACCCGUUCGCCGGAAGACCAAGGGUUCCUGUCCAACGUUAAUCGGGGCAGGGUGAGUCGGCCCCUAAGGCGAGGCUGAAAAGCGUAGUCGAUGGGAAACAGGUUAAUAUUCCUGUACUUGGUAAAGCUGCGAUGUGGGGACGGAGUAGGUUAGGUUAGCGUGCUGUUGGAUAUGCACGUUUAAGUUGGUAGGUGGGAAGUUUAGGCAAAUCCGGACUUCUAUUAAACACUGAGAGAUGAUGACGAGGCUCUACGGAGCUGAAGUAACUGAUACCACACUUCCAGGAAAAGCCACUAAGCGACAGGCUUUACUAAACCGUACUGAAAACCGACACAGGUGGUCAGGUAGAGAAUACUCAGGCGCUUGAGAGAACUCGGGUGAAGGAACUAGGCAAAAUAGCACCGUAACUUCGGGAGAAGGUGCGCCGGCGUAGAUUGUAAGGGCUUGCCCCUGAAGGUUGAACCGGUCGAAGAUACCAGCUGGCUGCAACUGUUUAUUAAAAACACAGCACUCUGCAAACACGAAAGUGGAGGUAUAGGGUGUGAUGCCUGCCCGGUGCUGGAAGGUUAAUUGAUGGUGUAAUCGAAAGAGAAGCACCUGAUCGAAGCCCCAGUAAACGGCGGCCGUAACUAUAACGGUCCUAAGGUAGCGAAAUUCCUUGUCGGGUAAGUUCCGACCUGCACGAAUGGCAUAAUGAUGGCCAGGCUGUCUCCACCCGAGACUCAGUGAAAUUGAAAUCGCCGUGAAGAUGCGGUGUACCCGCGGCUAGACGGAAAGACCCCGUGAACCUUUACUAUAGCUUGACACUGAACAUUGAAUUUUGAUGUGUAGGAUAGGUGGGAGACUAAGAAGUAGGAACGCCAGUUUCUAUGGAGUCAUCCUUGAAAUACCACCCUUUAACGUUUGAUGUUCUAACGAAGAUUACGAAACGUGGUCUCGGACAGUGUCUGGUGGGUAGUUUGACUGGGGCGGUCUCCUCCCAAAGCGUAACGGAGGAGCACGAAGGUUUGCUAAUCACGGUCGGACAUCGUGAGGUUAGUGCAAUGGUAUAAGCAAGCUUAACUGCGAGACAGACAAGUCGAGCAGGUACGAAAGUAGGUCAUAGUGAUCCGGUGGUUCUGAAUGGAAGGGCCAUCGCUCAACGGAUAAAAGGUACUCCGGGGAUAACAGGCUGAUACCGCCCAAGAGUUCAUAUCGACGGCGGUGUUUGGCACCUCGAUGUCGGCUCAUCACAUCCUGGGGCUGAAGUAGGUCCCAAGGGUAUGGCUGUUCGCCAUUUAAAGUGGUACGCGAGCUGGGUUUAGAACGUCGUGAGACAGUUCGGUCCCUAUCUGCCGUGGGCGUAGGAGAAUUGGUUGGGGCUGCUCCUAGUACGAGAGGACCGGAGUGGACGCACCACUGGUGUUCCGGUUGUGUCGCCAGACGCAUUGCCGGGUAGCUAAGUGCGGAAGAGAUAAGUGCUGAAAGCAUCUAAGCACGAAACUUGCCAAGAGAUGAGUUCUCCCUGUCUUUAAGACAGUAAGGGUUGU
rnacentral:rRNA from 1 species